ACAUACAUACAGGUUACAUACAUACAAGUUACAUAUAUACAGGUUACAUAUAUACAGGUUACAUACAUACAGGUUACAUACAUACAUGUUACAUACAUACAGGUUACAUACAUACAGGUUACAUACAUACAGGUUACAUACAUACAGGCUACAUACAGGUUACAUACAUGUUACAUACAGGUUACAUACAUACAUGUUACAUACAUACAGGUUACAUACAUACAGGUUACAUACAUACAGGUUACAUACAUACAGGUUACAUAUAUAC